rnacentral:rRNA from 1 species
GAUCAUGGCUCAGGAUGAACGCUGGCGGCGUGCUUAACACAUGCAAGUCGGAGCGAAGCACUUUCGAUGAUCCUUCGGGUGAUUUGAUUGUGACUGAGCGGCGGACGGGUGAGUAACGCGUGAGUAACCUGCCUCAUACAGGGGAAUAACAGUUAGAAAUGACUGCUAAUGCCGCAUAAGCGCACAGGGCCGCAUGGCCGUGUGAAAACUCCGGUGGU